CCUACGGGAGACAGCAGUGAGGAAUAUUGGUCAAUGGGCGCGAGCCUGAACCAGCCAAGUAGCGUGAAGGAUGACUGCCCUACGGGUUGUAAACUUCUUUUAUAAAGGAAUAAAGUGAGGCACGUGUGCCUUUUUGUAUGUACUUUAUGAAUAAGGAUCGGCUAACUCCGUGCCAGCAGCCGGGGUAAUACGGAGGGUCCGAGCGUUAUCCGGAUUUAUUGGGGUUAAAGGGAGCGUAGAGGGGUUGUUAAGUCAGUUGUGAAAGUUUGCGGCUCAACCGGAAAAUUGCAAUUGAUACUGGCAGUCUUGAGUACAGUUGAGGUAGGCGGAAUUCGUGGUGUAGCGGUGAAAUGCUUAGAUAUCACGAAGAACACCGAUUGCGAAGGCAGCUUACUAAACUGCUACUGACAUUGAGGCUCGAAAGUGUGGGUAGCAAACAGGAUUAGAUACCCCUGUAGUC
rnacentral:rRNA from 1 species